rnacentral:rRNA from 1 species
UACGGAGGGUGCAAGCGUUGCUCGGAAUUAUUGGGCGUAAAGGGUAGGUAGGUGGUCUCAUUUGUCUGGGGUGAAAGCCUUGAGCUUAACUCAAGAAGUGCCCCAGAAACGGUGAGACUAGAGUCCUGGAGAGGGUCGUGGAAUUCCCGGUGUAGCGGUGAAAUGCGUAGAGAUCGGGAGGAACACCAGAGGCGAAGGCGGCGACCUGGACAGGUACUGACACUCAACUACGAAAGCGUGGGGAGCAAACAGGG